rnacentral:rRNA from 1 species
UACGGAGGGAGCUAGCGUUGUUCGGAAUUACUGGGCGUAAAGCGCACGUAGGCGGCUAACUAAGUCAGACGUGAAAUCCCUCGGCUUAACCGGGGAACUGCGUCUGAUACUGGAUGGCUAGAGGUUGGGAGAGGGAUGCGGAAUUCCAGGUGUAGCGGUGAAAUGCGUAGAUAUCAAGAGGAACACCUGAGGUGAAGACGGGUUGCUGGGCUGACACUGACGCUGAGGCGCGAAAGCCAGGGGAGCAAACGGG